rnacentral:rRNA from 1 species
AUUGAACGCUGGCGGCAGGCCUAACACAUGCAAGUCGAACGGUAACAGGAAGAAGCUUGCUUCUUUGCUUACGAGUGGCGGACGUGUGAGUAAUGUCUGGGAAACUGCCUGAUGGAGGGGGAUAACUACUGGAAACGGUAGCUAAUACCGCAUAACGUCGCAAGACCAAAGAGGGGGACCUUCGGGCCUCUUUCCAUCGGAUUUGCCCAGAUGGGAUUAGCUAGUAGGUGGGGUAACGGCUCACCGAGGCGACGAUCCCUAGCUGGUCUGAGAGGAUGACCAGCCACACUGGAACUGAGACACGGUCCAGACUCCUACGGGAGGCAGCAGUGGGGAAUAUUGCACAAUGGGCGCAAGCCUGAUGCAGCAAUGCCGCGUGUAUGAAGAAGGUCUUCGGGUUGUAAAGUACUUUCAGCGGGGAAGAAGGGAGUAAAGUGAAUACCUUUGCUCAUUGACGUUACCCGAAGAAGAAGCACCGGCUAACUCCGUG